rnacentral:rRNA from 1 species
GACGAACGCUGGCGGCGUGCUUAACACAUGCCAGUCGAACGGAAAGGCCCUGCUUUUGUGGGGUGCUCGAGUGGCGAACGGGUGAGUAACACGUGAGUAACCUGCCCUUGACUUUGGGAUAACUUCAGGAAACUGGGGCUAAUACCGGAUAGGAGCUCCUGCUGCAUGGUGGGGGUUGGAAAGUUUCGGCGGUUGGGGAUGGACUCGCGGCUUAUCAGCUCGUUGGUGGGGUAGUGGCUUACCAAGGCUUUGACGGGUAGCCGGCCUGAGAGGGUGACCGGCCACAUUGGGACUGAGAUACGGCCCAGACUCCUACGGGAGGCAGCAGUGGGGAAUAUUGCACAAUGGGCGGAAGCCUGAUGCAGCAACGCCGCGUGCGGGAUGACGGCCUUCGGGUUGUAAACCGCUUUCGCCUGUGACGAAGCGUGAGUGACGGUAAUGGGUAAAGAAGCGCCGGCUAACUACGUG